rnacentral:rRNA from 1 species
UACGUAGGGGGCAAGCGUUGUUCGGAAUUACUGGGCGUAAAGGGCGCGUAGGCGGCAUGGCAAGUCGGGAGUGAAAGCCCGGGGCUCAACCCCGGAACGGCUUUCGAAACUGCCAAGCUAGAGUACGGAAGGGGCAACUGGAAUUCCCAGUGUAGCGGUGAAAUGCGUAGAUAUUGGGAAGAACACCGGAGGCGAAGGCGGGUUGCUGGGCCGAUACUGACGCUGAGGCGCGAAAGCCAGGGGAGCAAACGGGAUUAGAUACCCCGGUAGUCCUGGCCCUAAACGAUGGAUACUUGGUGUGUGGGGUUCUCAAAGUCCCCGCGUGCCGGAGCUAACGCGUUAAGUAUCCCGCCUGGGGAGUACGGUCGCAAGGCUGAA